rnacentral:tRNA from 1 species
CCAGCCGUGGCCUACUGGUUAGGACAUCCGGCUUGUAACCGAAGGGUUGCUGGUUUGAUUCCUGAGCAGUGGGC